rnacentral:lncRNA from 1 species
CCCUAACAGCGCUGGAUUUCUCAACUGUCGAUCGAGUGACAAUCAUGCCUGCCUGCUUGACAAAGCCUUUUCGGUCUACCAAUAAAGGAAAAACGAUUGCUGUGACACGAAGGCUGUGCUCGACGCUCUUUUUCCUAUUCCACUGCGCGUCGUGGUCUUUCCCUUGCUGGUUGGAUGACUACUAUGGACGAAGAGCACAAUUACUUCCAGUCUCUGGUCGAUAAGUACCCAAGGAAGGUAAAUUCCAGCGAAGAAAGUCGAGAGCUCCUUAGUUGAUCACAAAUCCUUCCAAAUUCUUUGUUCGUAGACUAAUUUGAAAUCCUUCCAAUAUGGAUCCAUGCUGUCUUUAUAUCCAUAAGAUACCAAUUAGAUUGUGUUAAUUAUUGUUUAU